UAAAGCUAAAUUAAAGAGCAGUGAUACUAUGAUGAAGGCCUUGAGGUCGAUACGUAAAGCUUAUUAAAGAGCAGUGAUACUAUGAUGAAGGCCUUGAGGUCGAUACGUAAAGCUAAAUUAAAGAGUAGUGAUACUCUGAUGAAGGCCUUGAGGUCGAUACGUAAAGCUUAUUAAAGAGCAGUGAUACUCUGAUGAAGGCCUUGAGGUCGAUACGUAAAGCUUAUUAAAGAGCAGUGAUACUCUGAUGAAGGCCUUGAGGUAGAUACGUAAAGCUUAUUAAAGAGCAGUUGUAACAGUAUUGCUUCCGUCCCUCUCCUCGCCCCUACCUGGGCUCGAACCAGGGACCCUCUGCACACAUCGACAACAGUCAUCCUCGAAGCAUCAUUACCCAUGGCUCCAAAAAAGCCGCGGCCCUUGCAGAGCAAGGGGAACAACUACUUCAGGUCUCAGAGCGAGUGACGUCACCCGAUUGAAAUGCUAUUAGCGCGCACCACCGCUAACUAACAAGCCAUUUCACAUCAGUUACACAGUGAUACUAUGAUCAAGGCCUUGAGGUCGAUACAUAAAGCUAAAUUAAAGAGCAGUGAUACUCUGAUGAAGGCCUUGAGGUCGAUACGUAAAGCUAAAUUAAAGAGCAGUGAUACUAUGAUGAAGGCCUUGAGGUCGAUACGUAAAGCUUAUUAAAGAGCAGUGAUACUCUGAUGAAGGCCUUGAGGUCGAUACGUAAAGCUAAAUUAAAGAGCAGUGAUACUCUGAUGAAGGCCUUGAGGUCGAUACG
rnacentral:lncRNA from 1 species